GUGCUGGGUGCUGCGUGCUGGGUGCUGCGUGCUGGGUGCUGGGUGCUGGGUGCUGCAUGCUGUGUGCUUCGUGCUGGGUGCUGGGUGCUGCGUGCUGGGUGCUGCGUGCUGCUGCGUGCUGCGUGCUGCACAUCCCCACCAUGCCCACGUACCCAUCCCCACCAUGGCCAUGGAACCAUCACGGUUGGAAAAGUCCUCCAAGACCCCCAAGUCCAAUCCCCCCAUCACCGCUGUGCCCAUGGAACCAUCCAGGUUGGGGAAGUCCUCCAAGACCCCCACCAUGCCCAACCCCAACCCAUCCCCACCAUGCCCACAGAACCAUCCAGGUUGGGAUGGUCCUCCAAGACCCCCAAGUCUGACCCCCUUCCAUUGCUGCCAUGCCCACGGAACCAUCCAGGUUGGAAAGGUCCUCCAAGACCCCCACCAUGCCCAACCCCAACCCAUCCCCACCAUGUGCCCAUAGAACCAUCCAGGUUGGAAAGAUCCUCCAAGACCCCCAAGUCUGACCCCAACCCAUCGCCUCCGUGCCCACAGAACCAUCCAGGUUGGGAAGGUCCUCCAAGACCCCCAAGUCCAACCCCCUCCCAUCCCCACCGUGCCCAUAGAACCAUCCAGGUUGGAAAGAUCCUCCAACACCCCCAAGUCCAACCUCCUCCCAUCCCCACCGUGCCCAUA
rnacentral:lncRNA from 1 species